CCCUAGCCCCGAUAGAAGUGGAAAUCCUUUUAUUCUGGGGUUCAGAAUAAAAGAUUACUUCACUUAAUUUUUAUUUUAAUUGGAGUUCAGUGAACUUCGUCUACAACGGAUAGCGGGAAUUAGC
rnacentral:misc_RNA from 1 species